ensembl:lncRNA
CACAACUCUGGAAGCCACUCCAGCUCCAGGGAUGUUCUCCAAUGUCAAGUAAACUCAAUUCCUCCCCACUCUGCAAACUGGCUUUUCAACAAACUUCUACCGAACUUAGACUGCAGACACUAAACUAUACGCCUGCCCCCACAUAUGUAACGAUGUGGCCAAGCCAAUGAUAUGGACGAUGCAGAUCUUAAGUCUACUGGAGUUGGACAUAUCAGAACUGGUGGUAAUCAGUACUACAGAUCCUCAUGCAGGGUCUUACAAAUUUAAGAGCUAGCGAGAGCCUCACUGAAGAUCUGGGCUAAAAUGCCUAGUCCCCGGGUGCAGAGACUCAGGUGGAGCUGGUGAGCGGAGGCAGAAUUAAGAUCAUUCCAGACACUUGGCACCAAAUACUUGUAUAUAUGUUGUGCAACAUCUGUGGAAAAUACUGCUUGAAGGAAUGAUAGAGGCUGGGAGAAUUUGAAAUAUUUAUCCUCUUACUUGCCAAACCAUAAAAAUGCAGCAAAAUGUGCUGAGCCAUUUCCAGCCACUCUGGAUACUACUAACAGCCCAUUAAUAUUUAACAGUAUCACAAGUGAGAAAACUGAGGUUGUCAAAGAAGCAGACACAGAAUAAGACCCCAGGACUGGGUUCACUCCAAGCCCCAUUCUUGUUUACUGACUCAUUCUCUCUGAUUCUCCUCUUUCUUUCCUUCCUUCCCUCUCUCCCUCUCCCUCUUCCUUUCAUCUUCCCUCCUCUUCUAAUUUUUAUCUUCAGCUAAGUUAUACAAGAGAAUAGUUGUAC